rnacentral:tRNA from 1 species
AGGGGAUUAGCUCAGUUGGUUAGAGCACUUGGCUUACAUCCAAGAGGUCAUCCGUUCAAAUCGGAUAUUCCCUACCA